GUUGGGAUUUUUUAGAUCAGCAGUUAUUGAUAAAUAUUAUCAUAAGUUCUCUACUGGCCUACUAAGUCUCAAUAU
rnacentral:pre_miRNA from 1 species